rnacentral:rRNA from 1 species
AGAACGAACGCUGGCGGCAUGCCUAACACAUGCAAGUCGAACGAGACCUUCGGGUCUAGUGGCGCACGGGUGCGUAACGCGUGGGAAUCUGCCCUUAGGUUCGGAAUAACUCAGAGAAAUUUGAGCUAAUACCGGAUGAUGACGUAAGUCCAAAGAUUUAUCGCCUAGGGAUGAGCCCGCGUAAGAUUAGGUAGUUGGUGGGGUAAAGGCCUACCAAGCCGACGAUCUUUAGCUGGUCUGAGAGGAUGAUCAGCCACACUGGGACUGAGACACGGCCCAGACUCCUACGGGAGGCAGCAGUGGGGAAUAUUGGACAAUGGGCGAAAGCCUGAUCCAGCAAUGCCGCGUGAGUGAUGAAGGCCUUAGGGUUGUAAAGCUCUUUUACCCGGGAUGAUAAUGACAGUACCGGGAGAAUAAGCCCCGGCUAACUCCGCGCCAGCAGCCGC